rnacentral:rRNA from 1 species
UACGUAGGUGGCAAGCGUUGUCCGAAAUCACUGGGCGUAAAGGGCUCGUAGGCGGCCAACUAAGUCACACGUGAAAUCCCCCAGGCUUAACCUGGGAACUGCGUGUGAUACUGGAUGGCUUGAAUCCGGGAGAGGGAUGCGGAAUUCCAGGUGUAGCGGUGAAAUGCGUAGAUAUUGGGAGGAACACCAGUGGCGAAGGCGGCUCACUGGACCGGAACUGACGCUGGAGGCGCGAAAGCGUGGGGAGCAAACAGG